UUAUAAAAUAUUAUGGAUAUCCUUCAAAAUUACAUAUUUUGAAACCUUUUGAUCAUUAGGCCAAUGAUGUUGGAAAAAUUUAAAAUUUGGUUUCUAGAUAUUUCAAGUGGUAUAGAUCGUGUUGAAUAGUGUCGAUCGUCAAUUUAGAGGCUCCAUCAUCGAAAAUAAAUGGAUGACAACGAAGCAUUUUUUAGAGGCAGUUGGUUAUAUACUCCUGAAAAGUUUUCGACUUUCUUAUUUACCCUUCUUGGAAAGUUAAUAUUAAAAUAAUACUUUUAAAAUUUCAAAAUCUUUCAAAUAUAUCUCUACAGUUAAAUUCUGUUAGUGAACUGUUAAGAACAGUCAUUAUCUCUAUAAAAUUACCAUUUUGAUCUUUCAAAUAUACCCUUUUACCGUCACCAACUUUUUUUAUUUGCCCUUAAGUUUGGGGUAAAAGAAGUAUUUUGACUUUUUGUUGUCACAAAUUUUUCUUAUUUGCUCUUAAGUUAGGGGCACAAUAGGUAUUUUCAUUUUUUUUUUUUAACUAUGGUAGAAAUUUAACUAAUUAAGGUUUAACCCUGAGAUGACUAACGAACACUAACAAUAGGGAUAUUUUUGAAUAAUAGAAAAAUAUAUGAGAGAUAUAUUUGAAACAAAAAAAGUAGGGGUAAAUAAGAUAUUUCAGCAGUUUUGAGGAGUAUAUAGG
rnacentral:lncRNA from 1 species